rnacentral:rRNA from 1 species
AAUGAACGCUGGCGGUAUGCCUAACACAUGCAAGUCGAACGGCAGCACAGUAAGAUCUUGCUCUUACGGGUGGCGAGUGGCGUACGGGUGAGGUAUACAUCCGAAUCUACUUUUUCGUGGGGGAUCACGUAGGGAAACUUACGCUAAUACCGCAUACGCUCUACGGGUGAAAGCAUUGGAUCUUCGGACCUUGCGCGAUUGGAUGAGCCGCUGUCGGGUUAGCUAGUUGGCGGGGUAAAGGCCCACCAAGGCGACGAUCCGUAGCUUGUCUGAGAGGAUGAUCAGCCACACGAGAACGGAGACACGGUCCAGACUCCUACGGGAGGCAGCAGUGGGGAAUAUGAGACAAUGGGCGCAAGCCUGACCCAGCCAUACCGCGUGGGUGAAGGAGGCCUUCGGGUUGUAAAGCCCUUUUGUUGGGAAAGAAAAGCUGCAGGUUAAGACCCCGCUGGUCUGACGGUACCCAAUAAAUAAGCACCGGCUAACUACGUG